rnacentral:tmRNA from 1 species
GGGGGUGAAAGGUAUCGACACUUGACAAGUGAGCUUUUCGGCAAGCCGAGGUUGACGCCAGGCCUCGUUAAACAGGCGUCAAGGCAUUAACUGCCAACAACAACUACGCACUCGCAGCCUAAGUAGCUGAGACGGCAAUGGGCAAGAUCUGGUUCCUGUAACCCAAAGCCGACGCACUGGAACUUCCGAUGCAUCUGCCUCCCGGGUGGUUGCAAAGGGUACAAACCGGGAAAACCGACUGGAAACUCCGGCUCAUACCAGAAGGUUACCUGAGUCGGGAAGCUUGUAAUUCCGAGGGUUUGUGAGUCAGGCUGGACACGGGUUCGAAUCCCGUCACCUCCACCA